rnacentral:tRNA from 1 species
UCCCUGGUGGUCCAGUGGUCAAGACUCUGUACUACUACUGCAGGGAGCAAGGGUUCAAGCCCUGGUCUGGGAA